CCCAUCCCUGUGGUAUUUGGGGUCCUUUAUCUGUGGUAUUUGGGGUCCAUUCCCUGCAGUAUUUGGGGUCCCAUCCCUGGGGUAUUUGGGGUCCUUUAUCUGCGGUAUUUGGGGUCCCAUCCCUGGGGUAUUUGGGGUCCUUUCCCUGCGGUAUUUGGGGUCCUUUCCCUGCGACACCCCGGGGUCCCCCUCCCGGCACCCCCGGCAGAGCGCUGUCACCUCCGAGGGACACCCGGCGGGCACCGGGAGGCGCCGGUUGUCCUUGAGGAGCUCCAGCAGCUGGCAGAUGAUCUGAGCCGGCCUCCCCGUGCCCAUCAUCCGCAGGAAUUCCUAUCCUUUCCCUGGGGUAUUUGGGGUAUUUGGGGUCUCUUUUCUGCUCUCUGGGGUUCAUGAGGUCUAUUUCAUGAUCCUUGGGGUGCUCAGGGUCCUUUCCCUGGGGUAUUUGGGGUAAUUUCCCUGGGGUAUUUGGGAUCCCUUCUUUGGGGUAUUUAGGGUCUAUUCCCUGGGGUACUUAGGAUUCAUUCCUUGUGGUAUUUGGGG
rnacentral:lncRNA from 12 species